rnacentral:rRNA from 1 species
GAUGAACGCUGGCGGCGUGCCUAAUACAUGCAAGUCGAGCGAACGGACGAGAAGCUUGCUUCCUUGCUGUUAGCGGCGGACGGGCGAGUAACACGUGGAUAACCUACCUAUAAGACUGGGAUAACUUCGGGAAACCGGAGCUAAUACUGGCUAAUAUUUUCAACCGCAUGGUUCAAAAGUGAAAGACGGUCUUGCUGUCACUUAUAGCUGGAUCCGCGCUGCAUUAGCUAGUUGGUAAGGUAACGGCCUACCAAGGCAACGAUGCAUAGCCGACCUGAGAGGGUGAUCGGCCACACUGGAACUGAGACACGGUCCAGACUCCUACGGGAGGCAGCAGUAGGGAAUCUUCCGCAAUGGGCGAAAGCCUGACGGAGCAACGCCGCGUGAGUGAUGAAGGUCUUCGGAUCGUAAAACUCUGUUAUUAGGGAAGAACAUAUGUGUAAGUAACUGUGCACGUCUUGACGGUACCUAAUCAGAAAGCCACGGCUAACUACGUG